AUUAUCUCUCCUUGAAAGAAGGCAUGGCACUUCCUGUGAACAAACUUAAAUCCCCUUCACCCAAGGAUGCUUUGUCACAUUUGCAGGUUAAAAAAAUUGGAGUACAUUGUUAUGAUGACCAGACUCGAAGGCAUUCAUGUAAUUGGGUGAAUCACAGAGUCUCAGGAAUCUUCUGGACUAACCAAAAGUGAUGGCUGAAACAAAUAUUAACUGGUAGUCUACUUAGUGAUCUGGACACUGGAUAAGGCAGAAACCAUUUUCAACAGAACUGUUAAGAGUGUAAAUAAAAAAAAAACAAGAUACCCACUCUCCAACUCAUUCAUAGCUUCAUU